GCCCACGUAGCUCAAUGGUAGAGCAACCCCUUCGUAAGGGGUAGGUUGUUGGUUCAAGUCCAAUCGUGGGCU
rnacentral:tRNA from 1 species